AUUGAACGCUGGCGGAAUGCUUUACACAUGCAAGUCGAGCGGCAGCGCGGGGCAACCUGGCGGCGAGCGGCGAACGGGUGAGUAAUACAUCGGAACGUGCCCAGACGUGGGGGGAUAACUACUCGAAAGAGUGGCUAAUACCGCAUACGAUCUACGGAUGAAAGCGGGGGAUCGCAAGACCUCGCGCGUCUGGAGCGGCUGAUGGCAGAUUAGGUAGUUGGUGGGAUAAAAGCCUACCAAGCCAACGAUCUGUAGCUGGUCUGAGAGGAUGAUCAGCCACACUGGGACUGAGACACGGCCCAGACUCCUACGGGAGGCAGCAGUGGGGAAUUUUGGACAAUGGGCGAAAGCCUGAUCCAGCCAUUCCGCGUGCAGGAUGAAGGCCCUCGGGUUGUAAACUGCUUUUGUACAGACGAAAAAGACUCUGGCUAAUACCUGGAGUCCAUGACGGUACUGUAAGAAUAAGCACCGGCUAACUACGU
rnacentral:rRNA from 1 species